rnacentral:lncRNA from 1 species
ACCGUCGGCUGAUCUGGUGCCUUGUGGAAGUCAGACGUCGGCUGCCACCUCCGACAGUGAGUUGGUGAUUUGGAUUCGACCGUUCGGCCGGUUGGAAACAGUAUUGGCCUGUUUGGCUGGCAUACCUUUGGUCGGAUAUUGUCGGCAGUCAUUGUCGGAGUCGUCCGUCCAUCCGGUGGGUAGAGUUGGACGUCGAUCGCACCAUUCUGAGGAUAAGUCGGCGUAUAGGGGUC